rnacentral:rRNA from 1 species
UGUCUCAGUUCGGAUUGGAGUCUGCAACUCGACUCCAUGAAGCUGGAUUCGCUAGUAAUCGCGCAUCAGCCAUGGCGCGGUGAAUACGUUCCCGGGCCUUGUACACACCGCCCGUCAAGCCAUGGAAGCCGGGAGUGCCUGAAGUGUGCAACCGCGAGGAGCGCCCUAAGGUAAAACUGGUGACUGGGGCUAAGUCGUAACAAGGUAAC